CAUGAAGAAAACUGCUUAUAAAAAAGCCAACUGAGGGCAUUUUGAUUCCUUCUGCUGCCUUGGUGGCUCUUGCUGAGGGAGGACUUCUGCAUUGGUAUCUUUGCAUUGGAAAGUUUUCUGCCUUGGAAUUGAUUCUGUGCUGGUAAGACUCUUGCUGAAGAGAUGACCAUGACUCCUGGUUGGAGAUCAGGACCUGAGAGAGCCUUUGUUGGAGUUGAGCUAGAGUUCUUUGGAUUGGCAAUUAGAGGGCGUUUAUUAGUAAAUGGAUGAAAUGAGAUUUGAACCCAAGCUUCCUGACUCCAUGUCCAGCAUCCCAGCUACUACGUUAUCUUAGGAGAUACUAACUUUGAACACUAGAAGAAUUACUAGGAGAGAAUCAAAAUUAUAAGACUAAAAGCCAGCUUUGGAGUGAAAUUCACCUGACCUUCAAGUUCAACCAAUCUGAAGACUGAUUUGUAAGAGGAACUAUGUUAAAAUGAACUGAUGUCCUUCCAAUGAUUCACUACAUAGCAUCAAUGAUUCACUACAUAGCAUCAAGUCAAGGCUGUGACUUGAGUUUUAUUAGAAUGGAAAAAGAAAUUCAAGCUAUACAAGAAAAUAAAAGUGGGAGGGGUCAAGAUAGUCUUCAAAGUUUCUGCAGAAAUUCAAAGCUUUAUAAUGUCUGAGAAAUUGUUCAGAUAUCAUCACCCCAUACCACAGUUGUGUACCAUAUGUUUACAUUCACAUCAUUUGACUUUUUUCGACUAUCUGGGAAAUGUCUGUGGAUAGUGCUGAAUACUAAAGCACUCUGAAAUGUUUCUUUUAUCAAGCAUUUCUCAGAAUCUCAGGGCCAUUUAUGGGCACGUCUUUGUCUCUCUAUGGCAAUCCUUGAAGUGAAUUGCUUCAGAUGUAGGUUGACGUGCCGCAUCAAGAGAAGGUACUCUGAGAACGUGGGCAGUGGCACAACAUAAGUAACAACUAGUUAUCAGUCUCCUUCCCUGAAGUUACAGGCAGAAAACGAUAGCUUUAAACUUAGUUUUAAAUAUUUACAGCAUUUGGCUUACAGGAAGCCCACUUUAAACAACACCAUUAAUGCUCUUGUCAGGAAGUGAUUAAUGUAUAUCAGAUACUUCAGGAGCAUGGCAAAAAAGUUGCCUUUCAUAACACAAUUGCAUUUGGUUUAUCUGUCAAAAAACAGGCA
rnacentral:lncRNA from 1 species